UUCUCUAUGUGAGGCUGGCAAAUCCCAGCUGGAGGAAAGCUUCCAUCAUUGGCCAGUUACUCUGUGGCAGGCACUGACACAGGCUCUUACUUAAUCUUCACAGUAGGACCCCACAGUCUAGGCAUUACUAUCAGCAUGAUUUAAGGGUAAACAUGCUCAGAGAGGUUUAAACAUUGGGCAGAGAUAGCCAUGCUAGUGAACGGUGGGGUCAUAAUCAAACUCGGCUCCGGCUCCAAAAUUACAAUUUUCAACUUUGACGAGUUAUGCAUUUACUUUGAGCUUCAGUUUUCUCAACUGUCAAGAAAAGCAGAAAUACCCUGUUACUGGUCCAACACAGAUCCUAGCACACAGUCUUGGGUUGUCCAAGAGACAGAAUCUCUGAAGGGAGUGUGAAGCUGAUGAGGACACUGGACCGCCUCUUCCAGUGGUUGGAAGAGCAGGACAUUCCAACCAAUUUCCUCUCCAGGGAAGUGCUGCUUAGGUAAGAGCACAAAGCCUCUGAAUCACCAGUAGAAGGGAUGUCACGCCCGGCUCAUGGGUUUGUGCUGAGGAUAGAAUAGAUGGUCCCAGGGAAGUGUUUGGCUCAGUGCUUGUACGUGGUAAUCAUUCAAAACAUGUUACAAAUGAUCGAUUCAGCAGCAGCAGCAUUAUUAAUAUAUUAGUAUAGGCUAAGAAUGUAAUUAGGUCUAUCAAUAACUAAAUAAUAUUAACAACCAAAAUUGGUCAUGAAAAAGCUAUACGUCAAUCUUGGAUUACAAUUACCAGAGACAAUAAUGCCGUUGACAGAGUUAAAAAUAUAAAACUCCUAAGUAAUUUUAUAAUUACUUAAACACUACUCUUAAACACAAUUUUCAUAUCCCUAAUUUUUUGGAGACUUUUUCUUUGUAGUAUAUACCUUUCUGAAUACAGCCCACACCAGAUGGAUGUCAUUCUCACAAAUUUAUGCCCAAGGUGCUUCAUUCUGAAGACAUGAUUGGCAGGUUUUGGGGGCACCAGCACGUUUGUUUGGAGGAGUAGGGAUCUCCGGAGGCUGAGCUUGUCACAGGGGAUGGUGCUGUCAGCCACUGUCAAAAAGCCACGUUCACUGAGAGCCUGAGAGGCCACAUCUUUGAUCUGUGCAUAAUUUUGGCCAUGAAGCCAUUUCAUCUCAUGAAGACUUUUUUUAUUAAAGCAAGUUAAAUAGAAAUAAUAGGGAAGUGACUUGGUUGUAAUGUAUAAAGAACUGAUUUAGACUUUGCUUUUAUUUUUUAGACUUGGUGAAUAUACUCAAAGCAGAAAUGUAAAAACAGAUGAAACGUAUUUCUGAUCUUUCCAGCGCUGUGGAUCUACUUAUGUAGAUCAAAUCAUUGCUGAAUUAAGUGACCCAUUAUUCCGAAUUGUGUGAUCAUGGAGUGAAAGUCCACAUUAUAUUGUGCAUGCCCAAUUAGGAGUGGAAUGCCAUGGCUUUAAUGAACCCUGUUCAGGCAGCUAGUCUCGCUGCCCUAGAACGCUGUCGGUGUGCAGAAAAGAAACUACCUGGGUGGCCUCUCCUGGCUUUGCCGUCGCUGGGGUGGUGACGGAACACGCAGAAAUGGAUGGCCUAGAGAGGGUUCCGAGCCGGAAAGGGCCCGUGCCCCGCACAGACUGUGAGAAGGCAGAAAGGAACCCGAGAGACCCGACAGAGAAAGAGAGAGAAGCAAGAGUUUCCUGCGGUGGAAGAAUUCCAGAUGGCCUUGUGUGUGUGACUUCCCUCACUGACUGAUGCUUCACAGAACCACCGACGCCGCUUCGUGUGUCAGGAUGUCGUGUUGUUCCUCUUGUGGAGCAGUGGCCCUCGGGUGGAUAUGCCACCGUAUGCUCAUUCUUUCAUAAACUGAUGGCAUUUUUAUUAUUUCCAGUUUGAAACUAUUAUGAAUAAGGUUUCUACAAAUAUUCCUGUGCUUUAUGAAGUCUUUAUGAAGACGUGUGUUGUUUCUCUCGUGUAAAUCUCUAGGAGUGGAACUUCUGAGCCGUAUGGAUGUUGAAAAGGAGCAAUAAGAAUAGAUAUCAUCCCCUUCCUCCCAAACUUAGGGGAAAAGCAUGCAGCCUUCACCAUAAAGCAUUAUGUCAGCUAUGUGUUUUUUUGUAGCUGUCCUUUAUCAGAUUGAGGAAGCUUCCUUUAAUUCCUAGUUUUCCAGGAAUUUUUAUUAUGCCUGGGUGUUUAAUUUUGUCAAACACUUUUGUCUUUAUCUAUGGAGAAAGCUGUAUCAUUUCUUUGCUUCUUAAUACUGUGAAUUAUACUGACUAACUUUCUAAUGUUUAGCCAACCUUGCGUUCUCAAGAAAAACUACAUUUGGUCCUGAUGCAUUGUUUUAUGUAUACAUAUACAGUUGGCCCUUGAAUAACACAGCUUUGAGCUGUGUAGGUCCACUUAUACACAACUGUUUCUCAGUAAAUGUUUUGGAAAACUUUGUGGAAAUUUGUGACAAUUUGAGAAACCAUUUUCUUUUCUCUAGCUUACUUUAUUACAAGAAUACAGUAGGUAAUACAUGUAACAUUAAAAAUGGGCGUUAACCAGCUGUUCAUGUCAGUAAGGCUUCUGGUCAACAGAAGGCCAUUAGUGGUUAAAUCUGGGGGUGGUCAAAGGUUAUACCCAAUUUUCAAUUGUGGUGGGCUUGGCACCCCAACCCUGAUGUUGAUCAAGUGUCAACUGUGUGUUUUAUAUAUAAAAUU